UCUCGAUUGGUCUAGUGGUCAGGAUACCUGCUUGUCAUGCACAAUGCGCAGGUGGCCGGGGUUCGAUUCCCCGAUCGAGAG